rnacentral:rRNA from 1 species
CAGUAGCCGCGGUAAUACGUAGGUGGCAAGCGUUGUCCGGAAUUAUUGGGCGUAAAGCGCACGUAGGCGGCUUUACAAGUCAGAGGUGAAAGCCUGGAGCUCAACUCCAGAAUUGCCUUUGAGACUGUAUCGCUUGAACACGGGAGAGGUGAGUGGAAUUCCGAGUGUAGAGGUGAAAUUCGUAGAUAUUCGGAAGAACACCAGUGGCGAAGGCGGCUCACUGGACCGUUGUUGACGCUGAGGUGCGAAAGCGUGGGGAGCAAACAGGAUUAGAUACCCCAGUAGUCCCUGUCUCUUAUAC